CGGGCUGUGGUAUAACGGCAUUACUCACGCUUCGGGUGCGUGUAACGGCGGUUCAAUUCCGCCCAGCCCGACAA
rnacentral:tRNA from 5 species